GUUCGAGGUAAAGUGACGUGCGGCCUGGUUGGGGGCUCGGACUGAAGAAGAUUGCCGAGCAGAUGGGAGGCAUGGAAGAGGUCAUGAAAUACGACUACGUCUUUGCGGAGAAUGGCUUAGUUGCCUUUAAGGGAGGAGAGGAAAUUGGUCGAGAGUCGAUCCAGAACCACAUGGGUGAAGAGAAGCUCCAGGAAUUCAUCAACUUUUCCCUGCGCUACAUGUCUGACCUCAAGCGCCCGUCAAGCGAGGAACUUUCAUCGAGUUCCGCAACGGACUGAUCAA